UAUUGGUCAAUGGACGCAAGUCUGAACCAGCCAUGCCGCGUGCAGGAAGACGGCUCUAUGAGUUGUAAACUGCUUUUGUAUUAGGGUAAACUCAGGUACGUGUACCUGACUGAAAGUAUAAUACGAAUAAGGAUCGGCUAACUCCGUGCCAGCAGCCGCGGUAAUACGGAGGAUCCAAGCGUUAUCCGGAUUUAUUGGGUUUAAAGGGUGCGUAGGCGUAUCGUUAAGUCAGUGGUCAAAUUGAGGGGCUCAACCCCUUCCCGCCAUUGAAACUGGCGAUCUUGAGUGGAAGAGAAGUAUGCGGAAUGCGUGGUGUAGCGGUGAAAUGCAUAGAUAUCACGCAGAACCCCGAUUGCGAAGGCAGCAUGCCGGCUUCCGACUGACGCUGAAGCACGAAAGCGUGGGGAUCGAACAGGA
rnacentral:rRNA from 1 species